rnacentral:rRNA from 1 species
CAGUCGCCGCGGUAAUACGAAGGGUGCAAGCGUUACUCGGAAUUACUGGGCGUAAAGCGUGCGUAGGUGGUGGUUUAAGUCCGUUGUGAAAGCCCUGGGCUCAACCUGGGAAUUGCAGUGGAUACUGGGUCACUAGAGUGUGGUAGAGGAUAGUGGAAUUUCGGGUGUAGCAGUGAAAUGCGUAGAGAUCGGAAGGAACAUCUGUGGCGAAGGCGACUAUCUGGGCCAACACUGACACUGAGGCACGAAAGCGUGGGGAGCAAACAGGAUUAGAUACCCGCGUAGUCCCUGUCUCUUAUAC